ACAACACCAGGACCAUCAGUCUACCGAGCACUAUCACCCGGUCGGCGGAAGAUCUUCCCUUUGUCGU
rnacentral:pre_miRNA from 1 species